GAGCGUUUGCCUGGGAAGGCUGUGCGUUGGACCACAUGCACCGAUGACAACAGUGACAACCGCAGCCGCCACAGCUCAUCACGGGUUGUGUGGAGCACAGCUUUCAUGUAAUAGGGAGCCUGAAAAAUGUAGCUGACCCUGGAUAGAUGGAUGGAAGCCUCACACUGUACCUCCUACACAUGCCCGGGGAUACGUGGUGACGUCAAGGUGAACGGAUUGAGAGACACCUAGCGGGGUCAGCAGUGAGCUCCAGGCCUUGGAUGCUGGCUGGAUAUUCCCAAGUUUGCAACAUGAAGACGGCCACGAAUGGUUAUUUAUAAUGAGAGUCUGCUUCACAUUAUUGUCAUCAAAGAGAAAGGUCCGAUGACCCUAACAUCGAAGGCAGAGAUUCCUGCAGCGGGGAGUCCCUGGGAAACCCGCAGGGCACCACCACCUCUGCCACCCCCUGAGCACUGCAGACUCCACGCCCGACUGCUGCGUACUUUGCUGGCUCUAACC
rnacentral:lncRNA from 1 species